rnacentral:rRNA from 1 species
CCUACGGGUGGCAGCAGUGGGGGAUAUUGCACAAUGGGGGAAACCCUGAUGCAGCGACGCCGCGUGUGGGAAGACGGUCCUCUGGAGUGUAAACCACUGUCCCCAGGGACGAAGAUGACGGAAGCGGGGGAGGAAGCUCCGGCUAACUACGUGCCAGCAGCCGCGGUAAGACGGAGGGAGCAAGCGUUGUCCGGAAUUACGGGGUGUACAGGGAGCGGAGGGGGGAGGGCAAGUUGGGUGUUAAAUGUACCGGCUCAACUGGUAGUCCCACUCCAAACUGCUAUUCUUGAGUGAAGUAGCGGCAGGCGGAAUUCCUCGUGUAGCGGUGAACUGCGUAGAUAUUAGGCGGAACACCAGUGGCGACGGCGGCCUGCUGGGCUUUUCCUGCCGCUGCGGCUCGACAGUGUGGGGAGCCAACAGGAUUAGAUACCCGAGUAGUC